rnacentral:rRNA from 1 species
GUUAAGAAGGGUCUUCCAGAGCAUUAGACACCAGUCAAAGUCCAACUUGACAGUGGCCACAGCCCAUAGAGGGUGAUAGGCCCGUAAGGCGGUCGUCUGGCUCUGCUGACCUCUUCUCCGAGUCAGGUAGCUUGUGAGUGCUGCCCAAAGAGCGAGGUAAACUCCUCGUAAGGCUAAAUACAACCCCAAUACCGAUAGCAAACAAGUACAGUGAUGGAAAUUUGAAAAGAACUUUGAAGAGAGAGUUAAUAGUACGUGAAACUGUAUGGUAGUAAACGCAGCCUCCCUCGAAGUGCAGCAUUGUGGACCCAACCUAAGCGUGCUGCUGCAUGGCUGUCUGUCCAGAGCCGUUAAAAGCCUGGCAGGCUGGUCUGCUGGCGGUGCGCGCGGGUGCAUCUCUACAUGCUUGACUGUAGGAACUGUUGGACUUGGACCGAAGGCCCGGGGUGGAGACCGAGCUGGCUGUAGUGGCUGGCACGGACCCGCCGGUGUCCUGGCUCCUCGUCCGACAGGCAUCUGGCCGGCGCUUAUAGAGCGCAAUCGUUGCUAUUGCAACCGGCCAUUCCCUACAGAGUAGGUCGGCGAAGGCUGCGACCCGUCUUGAAACACGGACCAAGGAGUCUAACAUGUAUGCAAGUCAACGGGUUGUCUAAACCCGGAGGCGCAGUGAAAGCAAAGGGCUGCUUGCAGCCUUAGGGGAGAUCCUUCGGGCGCAUCCCCGCCAUUUCCAAUUAGCUUUGUCUUUUGGGAAUAGGAAGAGCAUACAUGUUGGGACCCGAAAGAUGGUGAACUAUGCC